AUGUGGCAUGGAGAGAGAAGCACAAGCACAGGUAACAUCACAGUUCCAAAAUUUGGUCUCUGCUGCAAGGAAGGGAAAGUUAAAUUACCACCACUGAAGCAAGCUCCGCUGUAUCUCCGACAGCUACUACGUUACAAUGAAAGAGGAGAAUCAUCAAAUUUCCGCCAGAACAUCAGGUUGUACACCUCGAUGUUCGCAUUCACUUCAAUGGGAGAAAAGGUUGACUAUGAAAUUAAUAAGCAGGCAUCUGGACCAUAUGUUUUCCGUUUGAAUGGCCAUAAUUACCAUCAGAUUGGCACUUUACUUCCUAAGGAUGAUGUGACGAAACCAAAAUUUGCCCAAUUGUACAUACAUGACACAGAAAAUGAAGUGCGGAAUAGGAUUAAUGCAUCUGCUUCAACGGAGAGUAAGACACAACCAGAUGAAAACAUUGUCAAAGGACUACUGGAGAUGCUUGAUGAGCACAAUGUUUUAGUCAAAUCAUUUCGUAUGGCAAGGGACAGAUUCCAAAACCGACGUAUUAAAGAUGUAAGACUAAGGUCGAAAGAUGGACGACAAUACAACCUACCAUCUGCCUCAGAAGUCGCAGCACUAAUUAUUGGGGAACAAGGUGGAGAAAAUAAUGAAUUUGAUAUAAUAGUUGAGACCAAAGACAGAAUGUUACAGAGGAUUUCAGAGUUGCACCCAAGCUAUAUGUCAAUGCAGUACCCCUUGCUUUUUCCAUAUGGAGAAGAUGGUUUCAGACCAGAAAUAGAGUAUGAAAAUAAAAGAGGCAGCAAAGGUAAAAGAAAGUAUGUAACAAUGCUGGAGUUUUAUGCGUAUCGCAUACAACAACGUCUGAACCAAGCUUCAACAUUGCAAAUGAGUGGACGUUUGUUCCUGCAGUUUUUAGUUGAUGCAGCAACGUGCAUUGAACAGUGGAGACUAAAUUGGUACAGGACAAACCAAGGUAAGUUGAGGACAGAACUGUACAGAGGACUGCAUGAUGCAAUAGAAAAUGGAGAUACACGAGCCGAACAAGUUGGACAAAGAAUCAUACUACCCUCAUCAUAUAAUGGCAGUCCAAGAAAUAAGCGGCAAAACUACCAAGAUGCCAUGGCGAUUUGUCCUUGGGCUGGCUAUCCUGAUCUCUUCAUUACUUCUACAUGCAAUCCAAAAUGGCUGGAAAUACAAGAUAUGUUGGAUCUGAUUCCAGGCCAGAAAUCUGAAGAUCGUCCAGAUAUCGUUGCCAGAGUAUUCAUGUUAAAACUGAAGGAACUUAUGAAUGACAUAAAGAACGGAAAGUGUUUUGGACAAACAAUUGCAAUUGUCUACACUAUAGAGUUCCAGAAAAGAGGCCCCCCGCAUGCACACAUACUGGUGUUUCUACACCCAGAUGAUAAAGAUCCAAGUCCUUCCCAGAUCGACAAAAUCAUAUCAGCCGAAAUUCCUGAUAAGAAUAGUGAUCCAGAAGGGUACGAAGCAGUGCAAAAUUACAUGAUACAUGGUCCAUGUGGUCAAGCACACCCAAAAUCACCAUGCAUGGUCGAUAAAAGUUGUGCCAAACAUUUCCCCAAGAAUUUUUGCACUGAGACUACCAUAGAUGAAGAUAACUAUCCAGUAUAUAGAAGGCGAGAUGAUGGCAACACUGUGGACAAGAAUGGAGUGAAGCUAGACAAUAGAUUUGUUGUGCCAUACAAUAGAAACCUACUGGUCAAGUAUCAAGCCCACAUAAAUGUUGAGUGGUGCAACAGAUCAAGGUCUAUAAAGUAUUUAUUCAAAUACAUCCAUAAAGGAGAAGAUCGAACAACCGUCUUGAUAGAAGCGGAAGACCAACAAAGUGAAACAAGAGCUAGCAAAUUAACAAACAAGGACGACGAAAUCAAGAGGUACCUUGAUGCCCGGUACAUAUCUGGAUGUGAAGCCGCAUGA
rnacentral:rRNA from 1 species